UGAAUCUAAAACUUUAACUUAAACAACUCUCAGCAACGGAUAUCUUGGCUCUUGCAACGAU
rnacentral:rRNA from 1 species